GGACUACAGGGGUUUCUAAUCCUGUUUGCUCCCCUAGCCUUCGCGCCUGAGCGUCAGGAGCAGACCAGAAAGCUGCUUUCGCCAUUGGUGUUCCUCCCGAUAUCUACGCAUUUCACCACUACACCGGGAAUUCCACUUUCCUCUUCUGCCCUCAAGUCUGGCAGUAUCAAUUGACCCCUCCCAGUUAAGCCGGGAGAUUUCACAACUGACUGACCAGACCGCCUGCGCGCCCUUUACGCCCAAUAAUUCCGGACAACGCUUGCAUCCUACGUAUUACCGCGGCUGCUGGCAC
rnacentral:rRNA from 1 species